UGCGCUCAAAAUGGCUGGAGGAAAACAGUUAUGAAGAUCAGCCGUUUUGCAAGAUAUCUCCUCUGAUUAUGACCUCCGAAGCGGAGUGAAGACGAACCCUCCGGUCUCCCGGGGACUCGGGAAGGGGUUACUCUCCACAUUUCCUGUCCAAUUCCCAGCGCCGGGCCUGCGCACUGAUUACCUUCUUGAUGUUAAACAUUCCCAGGCUCCCAUAACCUUCUUGCUCGCCCCGUACCGUCCAAGCGCCUGUCCCAGGGGAGAGCUGAGAGGGAGGGACAGGCCCUGCACCCCCCCCCCCCCGCGGCACCC
ensembl:lncRNA